rnacentral:lncRNA from 1 species
CACUCAAACUAGUAAAGAACUGAAAGUGCGAGGACACGUCGUAUGGCUGCGCCAUGCUAACUCCGAGCCAUUGAAAGAUUGCUUCCCAUACCUUUGAGGUCUUUGGACAGUGAAUCAACAAGUGGUUCGUGGAUUCCUGCCGAUGAAAACAGGCGUUACAUCCCACCUCGACUUCACACAACUUCACAUUUCUUCUCGAGAGAUUGUCACACGUCGGAAUUCUGUUCUUCAAAAUUCUCCAU